AAACCAUGCAUAAGACACUUCCACAGUAAAUCUUUAAAUCUUUCCCAUGCAGCAUACAAACUUUCAUCAUCCAUCUACUUGAAUGAAGUUAAAUCAUUUCGAAGCUU